rnacentral:rRNA from 1 species
GACGAACGCUGGCGGCGUGCCUAAUACAUGCCAGUUGAGCGCUGAAGGUUGGUACUUGUACCAACUGGAUGAGCAGCGAACGGGUGAGUAACGCGUGGGGAAUCUGCCUUUGAGCGGGGGACAACAUUUGGAAACGAAUGCUAAUACCGCAUAAAAACUUUAAACACAAGUUUUAAGUUUGAAAGAUGCAAUUGCAUCACUCAAAGAUGAUCCCGCGUUGUAUUAGCUAGUUGGUGAGGUAAAGGCUCACCAAGGCGAUGAUACAUAGCCGACCCGAGAGGGUGAUCGGCCACAUUGGGACUGAGACACGGCCCAAACUCCUACGGGAGGCAGCAGUAGGGAAUCUUCGGCAAUGGACGAAAGUCUGACCGAGCAACGCCGCGUGAGUGAAGAAGGUUUUCGGAUCGUAAAACUCUGUUGGUAGAGAAGAACGUUGGUGAGAGUGGAAAGCUCAUCAAGUGACGGUAACUACCCAGAAAGGGACGGCUAACUACGUG